UUUGCUCCCCCCACACGUUAAAAUUUGUAUGAAAAAAUGAGUGACCGGGAGCGAUCGUCCCCAACACUGAUCGAAACUGGUUUAAAGAAUCUAAUCGGCGGUCGGGAUGGGAAUUAUCCACUCAUCAGCGGCAUAAAUGGUAAGCGAGUUCGACCAAAAUUGGUUUAAAUUACUAAGUGAGAAUAAGUACUUAAAUUUGGUAAGAAAUAAUGAAAAUGACGUGAAAUAAGAGAAAUUAAUUAGAAAUGAUACUAAAAACAAUAAUGAGUUAACAAAUGAUGUUUUUUGUAGAUGAAAAUUAUAUCAUAAAGAAAGGAUUUAAAUAAAUUUGUUUGUGAAUUUAAAAAUUGCUUUGUUUUAGUGAUAAAAGUAGUUUUAGGAUAACUAGGUACUUAAGAUGACUAAUUAUGUGUUGACCAUUUAAUCUUGUGUAUAAUAAAGCAAUUUGAGCGAAUAGAGAAUUCAGGGAGAUAUUCAGCUUUAAGACAGAUCGGAGUUAGAAGAGUAUUUAAAAGAAAUAAAUUCUAUGAUCUCUAGGAGGUCGUUCUUGCUUCAAAUUUUUCGGUUUUCAUAAUGAAAAUAUCAACAUAUUUUUCGUGAAU